AUGUCAGUAACAGCCUCUGUGAGAGACUCUGCCUCCUUCCUGUCUUCUCUGAUGAAACUCCAUGUGGUUUUGUAUGAGGCUAGGAGGGUGCUUCAGACCUGGGCUCCCCAGAUGAAGAGUUUGAGGCUGGGGCUAGUGACAGGUCAUUCGUGUGUCAGGUUGGGGACCAUGUUGCUCUUGGGGAUAAUUUUUCUCCCGAGCAUAUACUGUGACAUGGCCUCGGUAUAUUACUCUUCCCAUGAAAUAUUCAUCCCAAAGCGGCUGAUGGUCAGGGGAAGUGAAGACGCAGCGGAAAAGGCAACCUAUUUGCUACUUAUGCAAGGCCAGAAACACUUGGUUCACCUGAAGGUGAAGAGAAGUCAUUUUGUGAAUAACUUUCCAGUCUACAGUUACCACAAUGGCAUCCUGGGGCAAGAAGUACCUUUCAUCUCACAUGACUGCCACUAUGAAGGCUACAUAGAAGGAGUGUCAGGUUCUUUUGUUUCUGUCAACAUCUGUGCAGGUCUCAGGGGCAUCCUGAUUAAGGAGGAAAAAUCUUACAGCAUUGAGCCCAUGGACUCUUCAAGACGGUUUGAACAUGUGUUAUACACCAUGGCACAUCAAGCGCGAGUCUCCUGUGGUGUCACUUCCAGAGACAGCCAUGUGGUGUCUGCUAGCUGGCAACAAGGGAGCAGGAAGCUCCAUGAUCUACAGGCGCUGUCCUACUUGUGGUCACACAAAAAGUACGUGGAGAUGUUUGUCGUGGUCAACAACCAGCGGUUCCAGAUGUGGGGCAGUAACGUCAAUGAGACGGUCCAGAGAGUAGUGGAUGUCAUUGCUCUGGCCAACAGCUUCACUAGGGGAAUAAAUACAAGGGUGGUGCUGGCCGGAAUGGAGAUUUGGACCGAGGGGGACCUAAUAGAUGUCACAGUGGACUUGCAAAUCACACUCAGGAAUUUCAAUCACUGGAGACAAGAGAUGCUCUUCCAUCGUGCAAAGCACGAUGUUGCCCACAUGAUCGUUGGGCAUCACCCUGGACAGAAAAUGGGCCAGGCCUUUCUCAGUGGUGCCUGCUCAAGCGGUUUUGCAGCAGCUGUUGAAUCCUUCCAUCAUGAAGAUGUGCUGUUGUUUGCAGCCCUGAUGGUCCAUGAGCUCGGGCACAACCUGGGUAUUCAGCACGACCACUCGGCCUGCUUUUGUAAAGAUAAGCACUUUUGCCUCAUGCAUGAAAAUAUCACAAAAGAAAGUGGCUUCAGCAACUGCAGCUCUGACUACUUCUACCAGUUCCUUCGAGAACACAAAGGGGCCUGCCUAUUUAACAAGCCAUGGCCCAGGGGCCGCAAGCGUAGGGAUUCUGCCUGUGGAAAUGGCGUGGUGGAGGACACGGAGCAGUGUGACUGUGGUUCUCUAUGUCAGCGUCACCCAUGUUGUGAUGAAAACUGUAUACUGAAGGCGAAAGCAGAGUGCAGUGAUGGUCCAUGUUGUCAUAAGUGUAAAUUUCAACGUAAGGGAUAUCCUUGCCGUCCUUCUAGUCGUUCCUGUGAUCUCCCAGAAUUUUGCAAUGGUACAUCUGCAUUAUGCCCCGACAACAGGCAUAAGCAAGAUGGCUCAAAAUGUCAUAAAAUUUACGAGUGCCUUAAAGGUCAUUGUAUGGACCCUAAUAAUCAGUGCUUAGAAUUAUUUGGAUAUGGUGCAAAAUCAGCCUCACAAGAGUGUUACAAUUCAAUGAACAGCAAAGGGGACCGAUUUGGAAACUGUGGCAUUUCUACCAGUCCUAGGUCACAAUAUGUUCGGUGUUCAGAUGGUAAUAUAUUUUGUGGGAAACUUAUAUGUUCAGGUAUUAUAGGCUUACCAAAAAUCAAUCUCCAACAUACAGUGAUUCAGGUCCCUCAGGGAGAUGGCUCAUGUUGGAGCAUGGAUGCCUAUACGAGUACUGACAUUCCUGAUGAAGGAGAUGUGCACAAUGGCACUUACUGUGCACCAAACAAAGUCUGCCUAAAUUCCGCCUGCACAGAUAAAACCCCAGUGAUUUUUGCCUGCAACCCAGAAAAAACGUGUAAUGGGAAGGGAGUUUGUAAUGAUUUAGGGCACUGCCACUGUAAUGAAGGGCAUGCCCCCCCUGACUGUGUUACUGCAGGAGGUGGAGGUAGUGUGGACAGUGGCCCUCCUGGUAAGCCA
rnacentral:sRNA from 1 species